rnacentral:rRNA from 1 species
UACGAAGGGGGCUAGCGUUGUUCGGAAUUACUGGGCGUAAAGCGCACGUAGGCGGAUUGGUCAGUUAGGGGUGAAAUCCCAGGGCUCAACCCUGGAACUGCCUUUAAUACUGCCGGUCUAGAGUCCGAGAGAGGUGAGUGGAAUUCCGAGUGUAGAGGUGAAAUUCGUAGAUAUUCGGAGGAACACCAGUGGCGAAGGCGGCUCACUGGCUCGGUACUGACGCUGAGGUGCGAAAAGCGUGGGGGAGCAAA